rnacentral:rRNA from 1 species
GAUGAACGCUGGCGGCGUGCCUAAUACAUGCAAGUCGAGCGAACAGAUGAGGAGCUUGCUCCACUGACGUUAGCGGCGGACGGGUGAGUAACAAGUGGAUAACCUACCUAUAAGACUGGGCGAACUUCGGGAAACCGGAGCUAAUACCGGAUAAUAUAUUUAACCGCAUGGUUCAAUAGUGAAAGACGGUUUUGCUGUCACUUAGAGAUGGAUCCGCGCCGCAUUAGCUAGUUGGUAAGGUAACGGCUUACCAAGGCAACGAUGCGUAGCCGACCUGAGAGGGGGAGCAGCCCCCCUGGAACUGAGACGCGGUACAGACUCCUACGGGAGGCAGCAGUAGGGUAUGUUCCGCAGAGGGCGAGAGCCUGGCGGAACAACGCCGCGUGAGUGAUGAAGGUCUGCGGAUCGUAAUACUCUGUUGCUAGUGAGGAACAAAUGUGUAAGUAACGAUGCACGUCUUGACGGUACCUAAUCAGAAAGCCCCGGCUAACUACGUG